AAAUUUUUUGCUCAGAAGCUUCAUAUUGCUCUAAGGGUAAAGGCUCCUCAUCUUUGGGCUUUUUUGAAAAUGGAUUCAACUUGAAGCCCAUUUUCCGCUAUACUAGUGAAACCUCUGAAGUUGAGUGAAACGGUCUUGUAUUAAACAGUAACAAAAUUAGCAAAUAAGCUGAAAAUGAAGGAGACUUUCACUUUCAACGAAAUUGAUGAAUUAAAUAAAGCAAAAAUAAGCUAAACCACAAUGAUCAGAUAAGUAUUUAUUCAACAAUGCAGGGAGAAUUUACUGCUGCAACAAAAAAAGACUUUUGCUUUUAGAUACAAACAAACUUGAAUGACUAAACUAAACAAACAAUCCCAAACAAU